rfam:Gossypium hirsutum cultivar TM-1 chromosome 15, whole genome shotgun sequence
UAUUAAAAAUUUCAUCCGUUUGUACUGUUAAAAAUUGUCAUGGUUGACGGAAUAACUAGAUAGUGACGUGUAACGUGUAACGUGUACCUUUUACUGACAUAUAGCUAUAGGGAUCAAUUUUUAACAAUAGAAAUGGAUUAAAACUUUCAACU